CCUUCUAGUAGUAUGUCCCGCCUGCCCAGUGCACUUUUAACGGCCGCGGUCUCCGAACCGCGCGAGGGUAGCAGAAUCACUUGUUCUUUAAAUGGGGACUUGUAUCAGCGGCAUCGCGAGCGUUUUACUGUCUCCUCUUUUAAAUCAAUGAAAUUGAUCUUCCCCCGAAGAAGCAGGAAUACCCCUAUAAAACAAAAAAACCUGUGCAGAGAGAG
rnacentral:rRNA from 1 species